GCCGGGUGCAGUGACUCACGCCUGUAAUCCCAGCACUUGGGAGGCUGAGGCGGGUGGAUCACCUGAGGUCAGGAGUUCGAGACCAGCCUGACCAACAUGGAGAAAACCUGUCUCUA
ensembl:misc_RNA Metazoa_SRP Metazoan signal recognition particle RNA